GUCAGGUUUUUCAGGCUUUUCAUGGAACCAUAUGAGGGAUUUUAUAACUAGAGGGUCCAAGGACCCUGUGUCGCUCACCUGAUAUUUUUAUUUACAAUUGUUGCAUGAUAAAUGCAACUGUUGUACUGUCAUUUAGUUUCAGAGAUAUAAUACUAAAAAGUGCAUUUGAAACCUAUGUUUUAUUUCAGCCAUGUGGGCAGGCAGGGUCAUCAUACACAGUGGUCCCUGGAUAUCCUAGUGGUGAUUUAAACCAAGUUUGUUUAAAUUCAAC
rnacentral:lncRNA from 1 species